GCCCGGAUGGUGGAAUUGGUAUACACAGCAGACUUAAAAUCUGCCGCCGCAUGGCUUACGGGUUCAAAUCCCGUUCCGGGCACCA
rnacentral:tRNA from 1 species